UUAGUGACACCAUUCAGAGAGAUAAUGAUGGCUGUUGAUGGAGAAAAUGUGACUCUCUCCUGCAACUAUUCAGGCUCUGUCACCUACCUCUACUGGUAUCAGCAGAAAUCAGGUUCAUCUCCACAACUUCUCAUAGGACUACAGAUCUCCUCUGCUGCACUGACUGACUCUGCUGUGUACUACUGUGGUUGA